UACAGAGGGGCAAGCGUUGUUCGGAAUUACUGGGCGUAAAGGGCGCGUAGGCGGCCUGUUAAGUCGAACGUGAAAUCCCCGGGCUCAACCCGGGAACUGCGUCCGAUACUGGCAGGCUUGAAUUCGGGAGAGGGAUGCGGAAUUCCAGGUGUAGCGGUGAAAUGCGUAGAUAUCUGGAGGAACACCAACGGCGAAGGCAGCUCGCUGGGACGGUACUGACGCUGAGACGCGAAAGCGUGGGGAGCGAACAGG
rnacentral:rRNA from 1 species